rnacentral:misc_RNA from 1 species
CUUCGUGCUCCUCUCCAUUUACAUUAUCUUCUCUCCUGAAACAACUGAUCUGAUCUCUCCCCCCGUGUGCAUCUGUGGGACAAUGGAUUUUCAUAUACGCAGUGUUUUCCUUCUGCUUAUCGUUUCUUCUCUUCUCUGCUCAAUAGCUAAGGCUGAAACCAGUGGUUCAGUUUUCUUUAUCGAUGGCCAAAAUCGCCAAUACCUUCGUACUCCAUCAACAAACGAUGUCGUUCAGUCUCACUCAAUGUCGCCUCUGGAACUGGGUGCUGCUGUCUCUGUCUUGCUUGGUUUUGCACC